AAUGAACGCUGGCGGCAGGCCUAACACAUGCAAGUCGAACGGAUCCUUCGGGCUUAGUGGCGGCCGGGUGAGUAACGCGUGGGACCCUACCCAAAGGAACGGAAUAGCCUCGGGAAACUGGGAGUAAUACCGUAUGUGCUCGAAAGUGGAACGGUUUAUCGCCUUCGGAUUGGCCCGCGUUGGAUUAGGUAGUUGGUGGGGUAAUGGCCUACCAAGACGACGAUCCAUAGCUGGUUUGAGAGGAUGAUCACCCACACUGGGACUGAGACACGGCCCAGACUCCUACGGGAGGCAGCAGUGGGGAAUCUUAGACAAUGGGGGAAACCCUGAUCUAGCCAUGCCGCGUGAUCGAUGAAGGCCUUAGGGUUGUAAAGAUCUUUCAGGUGGGAAGAUAAUGACUGUACCACCAGAAGAAGCCCCGGCUAACUCCGUGCCAGCAGCCGCCGCAG
rnacentral:rRNA from 1 species